AGGGAUAUCUUAAAUCAUCCCACAUCACUUGAACUCAGAGGUCUAAUGGGACACAUAUGAAAGUGCUGUUUACACCUUAUGAAAAGUUACAGACAAGAGGAUCAAAAACCUCCUGAAAAGGCUUCUGAAAACUUCUGGCUCUUCUAUGUUAAUUGUAAGAGGUCAGUAGGUUCAGGCAAAAUGGAGAUCAUUAUCUGAACCACAUUCCUCAGAAUGCCGUGGGCAGCGAGAGACCCUCAGUGUGCAACAUUCACCAGAUGGAACGGAGAAGGAAGUGACUGACCAACAGCAGCACUAAGGAACCUGUGAAUAUUUUUUUAAAAGACAACAGUCUUGGAGGGAGAAACUAGAGUUUGUGAAGAGUCUCAGGGAGGGACUUCAAUCUGUUUUAGGAGAAUUAAUGGUGUUGAAGCAAGCAAGAGGCUUAGCUGCUAAGUUAAGGAGGGGCUUAAUGUAACGAAUCCAAGUGAUGAAGAAGAAGGAUCCUAGGCAGACGAGAGGCAGAAAUAACAUAGAAGUCCAAUCCGAAUCGACAGGCGAGUUCGUGGUCAAGAGCAAAGCAUUUGUGACUGUCAUGAAACAGUUCUUUCCGGGCCCUAUGCAGACUACACAAUCCGGAAUUGUGAAGAUACACUGGGGAAGAAGUCAUGCAGGAGAGGGUCUGGAGACAGGGUGGCGUAUCCAAGGUGAGCAGGUGUCCUAGGGAAGUGAGUCCGGGGUGAACAAACAAAGACAAAGUCCAAACGGGGAAUC
rnacentral:lncRNA from 1 species